GGUGUGAUUUUGGUAGGCAAACGCCACCCUUCUGCUGCCUUCGCUGGGCAAUGGGGUGUUUGCCACACUAUUAGAGGCCAUUUGGAAGCGAGAACGCAUCAAAACAAUUUUGUUCGUCCAGACGUGCGGCGGAAACUAAAUAAACUGAAUCACAAACCGAAUGUAUUUCGAAAUUUGGUGCCACUCGGCUACAUUGAAACCAAUGGGCUGUUGACGGGGCCGAUGCCUUGGGAGCACUUUCUUGGAAAAAUCAGCGGAAAAUAUAGAGUCCAAGUCGAUGACUGAGGGAAAACAGGGAACGAGGAAUAAGGAGAAAUAUGAUGACGUUACCAACGGUUUGAUUUGGCCAACAUCCAAUGUUCAGAGAAGUUAAUUUGAGGAAAAAAUUAUAUUGAUUUCUCUUCUUUUCAAUCAAAUGUCUUCAUAUACUGGGUGUCCCAUCAGCAACGCUCUGCGCUAAACAAAAAAAUUAUAUGGAAAAGUUGAAUUGAAAGUUUUCAGAUUACCUAAACAGGUUCAAUAAGUAUUCAAAAAGUUGUCUUUUGUAAUAAUUGUAACUCACUUUUUUAUUUUUUAUGAUAUUUUUAUGUCUUGCUCGCAAUGGAAAACGCAUGUGAUUUAAUUUCAGUUUGUCAACAUUUUUUUUUUUAAACCGCUCAUUUUGUUCAAUAUUUUUAGUUUCUUGUCCUUAUUUUUCUUCAUAAUCUGUUUAUCAUUUAAGUCACAAUUUGCUCAAGUGCAAUUUCAGAAGCAAUACGUUUCCACAGAAUGUAGCAAAUUUAGAAACAAAAAAAAAAUAAGUGGAAGAAUUAAUCGAGAAAAUAUAAAAUCUAACUUAGGACGUUAAUGUUUCAUGUAAACUCGCCCAUUUUUAACACUUUCUGGAACGCCAUACUUACACUUCAUUACUAACUUUGCUAAAAACUUGUUCAACCGGCUUUCAAAUGCCUCUUUUUCACAAUUUUUCUCUCAUGAUUUGCUCAGCCUUCGACAGGGAUUCCUCUAAAUGAAAUACUUUGUACGUAUUCUCGUCAUUGCCCAUGUGUUUCUUAAAUUUUUUCAAUGUUUGUUGUUGUGUGUACCUAGAAAUUAUGAAAGUUAUAAAUUAUAAAUAAAUAAAAUUAAAAACAAAGAAACCAGUUUUUCAAACGCAAAGUUAGUUUCUUGUGCUUUUGUAGACGUAGUAGAAGUAGAACCGAAACUUUCAAUAUUAUACGGGGUGAUUGAGUUUCAAUAACAAGAAAUGCAUAAAGCUGUACAUUUACCUGAGUUUUCAAAAGUUUUAAUACAUUUUUACCUCAAA